rnacentral:rRNA from 1 species
CGGUAAUACGAAGGGACCUAGCGUAGUUCGGAAUUACUGGGCUUAAAGAGUUCGUAGGUGGUUAAAAAAGUUGGUGGUGAAAGCCCAGAGCUUAACUCUGGAACUGCCAUCAAAACUUUUUAGCUAGAGUGUGAUAGAGGAAAGCAGAAUUUCUAGUGUAGAGGUGAAAUUCGUAGAUAUUAGAAAGAAUACCAAUUGCGAAGGCAGCUUUCUGGAUCAUUACUGACACUGAGGAACGAAAGCAUGGGUAGCGAAGAGGAUUAGAUACCCUCGUAGUCCAUGCCGUAAACGAUGUGUGUUAGAUGUUGGAAAUUUAUUUUCAGUAUCGCAGCGAAAGCGAUAAACACACCGCCUGGGGAGUACGACCGCAAGGUUAAAACUCAAAUGAAUUGACGGGGACCCGCACAAGUAGUGGAGCAUGUGGUUUAAUUCGAAGAUACGCGCAGAACCUUACCAACACUUGACAUGUUCGUCGCGACUCUAAGAGAUUAGAGUUUUCGGUUCGGCCGGACGAAACACAGGUGCUGCAUGGCUGUCGUCAGCUCGUGUCGUGAGAUGUUGGGUUAAGUCCCGCAACGAGCGCAACCCUCACUUUUAGUUGCCACCAUUUAGUUGGGCACUCUGAAAGAACUGCCAGUGAUAAGCUGGAGGAAGGUGGGGAUGACGUCAAGUCCUCAUGGCCCUUACGUGUUGGGCUACACACGUGCUACAAUGGCAUUUACAAUAGGAAGCAAAACGGUGACGUUAAGCAAAUCCUAAAAAAAUGCCUCAGUUCGGAUUGUACUCUGCAACUCGAGUACAUGAAGCUGGAAUUACUAGUAAUCGCGGAUCAGCGCGCCGCGGUGAAUGCGUUCCCGGG